CCACCAAUAACGAAACGAUGUCGUGGCAAUCGUACAUAGACGACCACUUGAUGGCCGAAGUCGACGGCAACCACCUCACCUCCUCCGCCAUCCUCGGCCACGACGGCAGCGUUUGGGCUCAGAGCGCCGCCUUCCCUCAGGUUUUAUUUUUUUCUCUCUUCCUACUUUUUUUUAAAUCGAUUGAAUUUGCGGAUCUGAUUGAUUGACGGAUGCUUGCCUUUUAACUUGAUUGUACUCCGUUUGAGAAUUGAGAUUGAUCUGAUUGGAGAUAGAUUUAUUCGAUUUGAUUGAUUCUGUGGUUUGAUUUAGUGCUCGGAGUUGUUAGAUCCAACUGUAAUUUGAAUUUUUGUAGUUGCUUUUGCUUGGGUAUAUUCGUUGCUGUUUGAAUUUGCCCGAUCUGGUUGAUGAAUAUUUAGUUUACCUUGAUUUUGUGCCGUUUUGAACUUGAUUUGACUUGUGAGAUCCGUUUAGUUUGUAGCUGAUGGUUUCGAUUUUUGUUGUAUUUUGGUUUUUAAGUUCUUAGUAUUCGUUGUAGUUGGAUCCAGCUAUUGGUUGAUUUUUCUUUUCUGUUGUUUUGAUCGGUUAUAUUCGUUGUUUGAUAAAUUAGAAGUUUUUGAUUUUGUUUAUAUGCGUUUGGUAGGGUCGAAAAGCCGUUUAUUGCUUGAUAUUAGAUCAUAUUCCUCUCUUAAAUUCUUUGAUUAGGGUUAUCAGUUUAUUCUUUGAUGCACAUAAAAUAUCUGCUAAAAUAAAAUAAAUAAAAAAAUAAAAAAUGUUUGAAUAAAAACAAACCUUUUAAAAUAAAUAAUUAAAAAGUCGUAGAUGAUCUUUUCGUGUAAUUGCUCCCUAAUUUCAAUAAUGUACUAUUUGAUUGAUUUUAUUGUCCUGUUUACGUAUGAAUUCAAUGCUGGUGCAGUUGAAGCCCGAGGAGGUAACAGGUAUCAUGACUGACUUUGAUACUCCCGGCUCGUUAGCUCCGACUGGAUUGUACAUUGGGGGAGCCAAGUACAUGGUGAUUCAAGGUGAACCUGGAGCAGUCAUUAGAGGGAAGAUGGUAUUUCGAUCUAAUCUCUUUCUAAUUUACUUAAUUUCUUGUUAAUUCUGUAUUAGUUUUGCUAAUGGCUUCUAGUAGCAAAGGGCAAGAAUCAAGAUAAUGGUGUGUUUGUCAAUUAGUUAUAUGAAAACUUAUGUUAACUUAUUUUUUUAAAAUGAAUAUAUAUUUUU
rnacentral:lncRNA from 1 species